AAAUAUCCUUUGAUCCGGAGAUGUCUGAAUGGGGGAACCCACCUACUUUAAGGUAGGUAUUGCAACAUGAAUACAUAGUGUUGCAAGGCGAACGAGGGGAAGUGAAACAUCUCAGUACCCUUAGGAAAAGAAAUCAAUUGAGAUUCCCUCAGUAGCGGCGAGCGAACGGGGAUCAGCCCAUUAAGUUAUGUGUGUUUUAGUGGAACGCUCUGGGAAGUGCGAACGUAGAGGGUGAUAUUCCCGUACACGAAAGGGCACACAUAAUGAUGACGAGUAGGGCGAGGCACGUGAAACCUUGUCUGAAUAUGGGGGGACCAUCCUCCAAGGCUAAAUACUCCUGACUGACCGAUAGUGAACCAGUACCGUGAGGGAAAGGCGAAAAGAACCCCUGUGAGGGGAGUGAAAUAGAUCCUGAAACCGCAUGCAUACAAGCAGUGGGAGCACCUUCGUGGUGUGACUGCGUACCUUUUGUAUAAUGGGUCAGCGACUUAUAUUCAGUAGCGAGGUUAACCGUAUAGGGGAGCCGUAGAGAAAUCGAGUCUUAAUAGGGCGUUUAGUUGCUGGGUAUAGACCCGAAACCAGGCGAUCUAUCCAUGAGCAGGUUGAAGGUUGGGUAACACUAACUGGAGGACCGAACCCACUGUCGUUGAAAAGCCAGGGGAUGACUUGUGGAUAGGGGUGAAAGGCUAAUCAAGCCUGGUGAUAGCUGGUUCUCCCCGAAAGCUAUUUAGGUAGCGCCUCGGACGAAUACCAUAGGGGGUAGAGCACUGUUUCGGCUAGGGGGUCAUCCCGACUUACCAAACCGAUGCAAACUCCGAAUACCUAUGAGUACUAUCCGGGAGACAGACUGCGGGUGCUAACGUCCGUAGUCAAGAGGAAAACAAUCCAGACCGCCAGCUAAGGCCCCAAAAUCAUAGUUAAGUGGGAAACGAUGUGGGAAGGCAUAGACAGCUAGGAGGUUGGCUUAGAAGCAGCCACCCUUUAAAGAAAGCGUAAUAGCUCACUAGUCGAGUCGGCCUGCGCGGAAGAUGUAACGGGGCUAAAACUAUGUGCCGAAGCUGCGGAUGUAUACUUUGUAUACGUGGUAGGGGAGCGUUCUGUAAGCCGAUGAAGGUGUGUUGAGAAGCAUGCUGGAGGUAUCAGAAGUGCGAAUGCUGACGUGAGUAACGACAAAACGGGUGAAAAACCCGUUCGCCGAAAGACCAAGGGUUCCAGUCCAACGUUAAUCGGGGCUGGGUGAGUCGACCCCUAAGGCGAGGCCGAAAGGCGUAGUCGAUGGGAAAAUGGUUAAUAUUCCAUUACUUCUGUGUAAUGCGAUGAGAGGACGGAGAAGGCUAAAUCAGCCUGGCGUUGGUUGUCCAGGUGAAAGGAUGUAGGCAUGUAUCUUAGGCAAAUCCGGGGUACUCUAUGCUGAGAUCUGAUAGCAAGCUGUACUUGUACAGCGAAGUGGUUGAUGCCAUGCUUCCAGGAAAAGUCUCUAAGCUUCAGUUACACAGGAAUCGUACCCGAAACCGACACAGGUGGUCAGGUCGAGUAGACCAAGGCGCUUGAGAGAACUCUGCUGAAGGAACUAGGCAAAAUGGUACCGUAACUUCGGGAGAAGGUACGCUGUUGUUGGUGAUGGAACUCGCUUCCUGAGCUGACGACAGCCGCAGAAACCAGGCCGCUGCAACUGUUUAUUAAAAACAUAGCACUCUGCAAACACGAAAGUGGACGUAUAGGGUGUGAUGCCUGCCCGGUGCUGGAAGGUUAAUUGAUGGGGUUAGCGUAAGCGAAGCUCUUGAUCGAAGCCCCAGUAAACGGCGGCCGUAACUAUAACGGUCCUAAGGUAGCGAAAUUCCUUGUCGGGUAAGUUCCGACCUGCACGAAUGGCAUAAUGAUGGCGGCGCUGUCUCCAGCAGAGGCUCAGUGAAAUCGAAAUCGCUGUGAAGAUGCAGUGUACCCGCGGCUAGACGGAAAGACCCCGUGAACCUUUACUGCAGCUUGACACUGAACUUUGACCUUACUUGUGUAGGAUAGGUGGGAGGCUUUGAAGCUGGAACGCUAGUUCCAGUGGAGCCGUCCUUGAAAUACCACCCUGGUAAUGUUGAGGUUCUAACUCUGUCCCGUGAUCCGGGACGAGGACCGUGUCUGGUGGGUAGUUUGACUGGGGCGGUCUCCUCCUAAAGAGUAACGGAGGAGUACGAAGGUGCGCUCAGCGUGGUCGGAAAUCACGCGUAGAGUAUAAAGGCAAAAGCGCGCUUAACUGCGAGACCCACAAGUCGAGCAGGUACGAAAGUAGGUCUUAGUGAUCCGGUGGUUCUGUAUGGAAGGGCCAUCGCUCAACGGAUAAAAGGUACUCUGGGGAUAACAGGCUGAUACCGCCCAAGAGUUCAUAUCGACGGCGGUGUUUGGCACCUCGAUGUCGGCUCAUCUCAUCCUGGGGCUGAAGCAGGUCCCAAGGGUAUGGCUGUUCGCCAUUUAAAGAGGUACGCGAGCUGGGUUUAGAACGUCGUGAGACAGUUCGGUCCCUAUCUACCGUGGGCGCUGGAAAUUUGAGAGGAUCUGCUCCUAGUACGAGAGGACCAGAGUGGACGAACCUCUGGUGUACCGGUUGUGACGCCAGUCGCAUCGCCGGGUAGCUAUGUUCGGAAGGGAUAACCGCUGAAAGCAUCUAAGCGGGAAGCCUACCUCAAGAUAAGAUUUCCCUAGGACUUUAUGUCCUCUAAAGAGCCGUUCGAGACUAGGACGUUGAUAGGUUGGAUGUGGAAGCAUAGUGAUAUGUGAAGCUGACCAAUACUAAUUGCUCGUGAGGCUUGACUAU
rnacentral:rRNA from 1 species